rnacentral:lncRNA from 1 species
CGUGUUAGGCUCCGAGAGGUUGCUUUCAGCGACGCAAAAUCAGGAGGUACCUUAUAUGAUUCUGGAUGCAUGGCUAAUCUCGUCCGAAUGAUGAUGAUGAUGUGGUCCGCCAUUUCCCUGCCUCGCAAUCGCAUGCCAUGCCGGUGCUCUCCACUUCACGCUUCACCUGCUAGAAAAAAAAUGAAAAACAAAAAAACAGACACUAAAACGAGCAGACAAGCUGCUGAAGGAGCCGUCGCGUUACCCCGCAAAUGACGCGCCAAAGUGGCUCGAGAAGAAGAGAUCAUGGUGAAAACAGGGAGAUGUACUGGG